GAUGAAUGCUGGCGGCGUGCCUAAUACAUGCAAGUCGAGCGGCAGCGCGUCUAGUUUACUAGAUGGCGGCGAGCGGCGGACGGCUGAGUAACGCGUAGGAAUGUGCCCCAAAGUGAGGAAUAACUGCCCGAAAGGGUAGCUAAUGCCGCAUAUGGUCUUCGGAUUAAAGGAUUUAUCCGCUUUGGGAGCAGCCUGCGUACGAUUAGAUAGUUGGUGAGGUAAUGGCUCACCAAGUCGACGAUCGUUAGCUGGUCUGAGAGGAUGAUCAGCCAGACUGGAACUGAGACACGGUCCAGACUCCUACGGGAGGCAGCAGUAAGGAAUCUUCCACAAUGGGCGAAAGCCUGAUGGAGCAACGCCGCGUGCAGGAUGAAGGCCUUCGGUUGGUAAACUGCUUUUAUUGUAGUGAAGAAUAAUGACGGUAACUCAUGAAUAAGACACCGGCUAACUACGUAGCCACGCAGCCGCGGUAAACGUACGU
rnacentral:rRNA from 1 species